rnacentral:rRNA from 1 species
AUGCCUCUCCUCAAGCCGCGCCACCAACCAUCUCUCCGCCCCUUUCUCUCGUGCUUGCAAGAUAGCGCCUCCCAACUCCCAUGUUAUCGAUCUGGUGUUGCUGUGCGUGAGGAGGACAGACAUGGGGAAGGCUCAGCAAGGCAGCACUCGCGUCGCAGUGGAGUGGAGCCGGCCGUCACUACCAACUGCUGCUCCCUGGUUGCCGUCCCUCAUCCCUCAUCUGGAUCAGGCGAAGAAGAGAGGAAGGAUCAUGCGGAAGAGUUGCAACCCGAUAGCUCAGGCGACAAUGAGCAGAUAUAUGUCAUCUAA